UCCUUUAUUGUAGUUUUGUCUUCAGUAAAAAAUAUACACUUUUUUUUUUAUGUAGGAGGGCACCAGAGAUCUCCAAACAACACCACAUGGGCAACAUCUGUCUUAUCAUAAAUUCUGUCUGGUCAACAGUGACUUGAGAUAUAAAUAAAAGAUAAAUGAUUUCCAUCAGGACUGUCAUGCAGUUAGACAGAUGGCAUGUCCAGUGCCUGUCCAACACAUUACUAUUGCUAUAGCACCAAGGCUACUAGUGUUGAAGGUCUGGACUGUUUUUCAUAUAUUCUUUCAUCUAAACAUUUAUUAAAGCUUGAUAUUUUUACAUAUUAAUGUCAUUUUUCAUAGUAAGCACAGCAUUCUCUCUUUGUAACUGUUCCCAAGUACCUUGCUUGUUACCUAAAAAUACCCAAAUUCAACUAAAAAGUGUAAAACAAGUAAUGUGACCUAUGUAGUGAAAAGUUUAGAGUCCCCUGUCUUGUACUACUAGUCAUGAGGGUCACUCCCUUUGCAAUCACUUCACACCACUCUGGUUGUGACUGCUGUAAAGAACACCAACUGUCUUUUUCUUUUAUCUGCUAGUACUGGCAGAGAAACCUGGCCUGACAGCAAGACAGCUUUCCCAAUCUUCUUCAGUAAUGCCACUCAUGAAUGGUGGAUUGAAGAAAUUAGACUUUCUACAAUGGGAAAAUCAAAUUUGAUGGUCUUUGGAAUGUAUUAACUCUUAUUAUAUCAAGUGUUAUAAAGCAAUACUGGUGUAGUUUGCACCACUGUAGUAAGUAAAAUAGCAUUGCAUGUGUCUGGUACUUAAUGUAAAUCUGAGGACUGUGUGCAGGACAUGAAUGAGUUAGCCAACUUUGAGACCAAUGACGAACAGUUGUGGAACUGGCCAGAGGGGAGGCAGCCAUGGAGUCUGUCCUGUUCCAACACUAUCUGGGACAACCCACCCUGUAUUACAAAGUCACAAAGGCUCUUGUUAUUCUGGCCAUAACCACCAGUGUGCAUUCUCACAUAGGCAGCAACAGCCAGCUCCACACACACCAUGGUGGACAAGACACUGUGCCUUGCUGCAAGUGAGGCAGCGUACAGACUCUAUGAUGUCUACAGCCUGUACAGUUGGGCCCAGUCUGAACCAACCCUCAGGUGAGAACAAAGAUGGCCAAACAGAUAGACUGCCAGACAGAUGCUUUCUAGUUAUGAAGCAGCAAAAUGUGUGAGUGGGAAUAAUAGUGUCUGUGAGGAUGUGAAAGAUUUGUUGCAACUUUAUUCCUAUAGAAACCAUUAUUCAGUUGUAAGAUAAUGCAUACCUGGUAUCAUAUACCAUAAUUAAAUGAUUUGGUAGAAAUACAGUGUUGAUUUCCCACAUAUCAAAACAAGACAGGAAUACUUGGACCAGCCAAUGAGUAAAAGCAUCAGUCAGUGGCAGCAUUACCAUGUUUGGAUGACAGAAUUGUUGAAACAGAAUACAUACGGGAACUGCCACAUGUUUUGUGUAGCUUCCUUUAAGUUCUGGUCUUAUGUUUGCUGAAGACUUCAAUCAAGUGCUGCAAAUAUUUUCUUCUUAAUAACUAUUAUAUAAACUAGAUGAGGAUAACAAAGAAAACCCUAGAGUUUAUUUUUUUUGUAUAGUUUUAUUCUUGUGGAUGAACUUUUUUCCCUUGAGCAUGUCUUCCUUAUAUUUUUAAAGAUAAAAAAUUUCAAAAUAUGGCUAUGAUUCCUUUUAACAUUAAUCAUUAUAUAUGUAAUUUCUACGACUGUGAAAAAAUCUUUUGAAUGUAUCAAACAGCAUAUUAAUAAAUCAUAAACAAACCAUGUAUCAGAAAGAGUGCAGAGGUUUCAUUUGGCAGUCAUGUGAUGCAAAAGUGCAUAUAUAGAAAAUAUAUGGAAGACCAAGAAGUUGGCUCUGUGUCAUAAGAAUAGAAGAAAUUAACAUGACUGCAUAA